rnacentral:misc_RNA from 1 species
AGGUGAACCUGCGGAAGGAUCAUUAGUGAAUUAAACAUGCUUGGUGUCUUCGCUUCGGCAAGGCCCUUGCUUAAAUCACAUCCUAACACCUGUGAACUGUAAGACGUAUGAUGAGGUCUUUGGCCAAGUCAUCGUCUGCCCAUUUUUAACAAACAAUUAAUGUAACAAACGUAGUCUUAUUAUAACCUAAUAAAACUUUCAACAACGGAUCUCUUGGCUCUCG